rnacentral:rRNA from 1 species
ACUCCUACGGGAGGCAGCAGUGGGGAAUAUUGCACAAUGGGCGCAAGCCUGAUGCAGCAACGCCGCGUGAGCGAUGAAGGCCUUCGGGUCGUAAAGCUCUGUCCUCAAGGAAGAAUAAAUGACGGUACUUGAGGAGGAAGCCCGGCUAACUACGUGCCAGCAGCCGCGGUAAUACGUAGGGGCAAGCGUUAUCCGGAAUCACUGGGCGUAAAGGGUGCGUAGGCGGUUUUUCAAGUCAGAAGUGAAAGGCUAUGGCUCAACCAUAGUAAGCUUUUGAAACUGUUAAAACUUGAGUGCAGGAGAGGAAAGUGGAAUUCCUAGUGUAGAGGUGAAAUUCGUAGAUAUUAGGAGGAACACCAGUGGCGAAGGCGACUUUCUGGACUGUAACUGACGCUGAGGCACGAAAGCGUGGGAGCGAACAGGAUUAGAUACCCUGGUAGACUGUCA